rnacentral:lncRNA from 1 species
UAGAGAUGCACAUAAAAAUGUGGUUUGACACCUAACCUUGACUCUUAUAGUCUCAACAUUUAUUACAUCCAACAUCAACAUGUACACGAGCAACCAUAACAUCUAUGACCAAUAUGUGGAGACAACCAGGACAUGCAUGGGAGCAACCUUGACACAUAAUAUGUAUCAGCCUUGACAUAUUUGUCUUCCGGCAAUGACAUUUUAUACAUGUGAAGAUUUCUUAUAACCCUACCUUCACAC